AACCGAGUCUUAAUUGGGCGUUAAGUUGCAGGGUAUAGACCCGAAACCCGGUGAUCUAGCCAUGGGCAGGUUGAAGGUUGGGUAACACUAACUGGAGGACCGAACCGACUAAUGUUGAAAAAUUAGCGGAUGACCUGUGGCUGGGGGUGAAAGGCCAAUCAAACCGGGAGAUAGCUGGUUCUCCCCGAAAGCUAUUUAGGUAGCGCCUCGUGAAUUCAUCUCCGGGGGUAGAGCACUGUUUCGGCUAGGGGGCCAUCCCGGCUUACCAACCCGAUGCAAACUGCGAAUACCGGAGAAUGUUAUCACGGGAGACACACGGCGGGUGCUAACGUCCGUCGUGAAGAGGGAAACAACCCAGACCGCCAGCUAAGGUCCCAAAGUCAUGGUUAAGUGGGAAACGAUGUGGGAAGGCCCAGACAGCCAGGAUGUUGGCUUAGAAGCAGCCAUCAUUUAAAGAAAGCGUAAUAGCUCACUGGUCGAGUCGGCCUGCGCGGAAGAUGUAACGGGGCUAAACCAUGCACCGAAGCUGCGGCAGCGACACUGUGUGUUGUUGGGUAGGGGAGCGUUCUGUAAGCCUGUGAAGGUGGCCUGUGAGGGUUGCUGGAGGUAUCAGAAGUGCGAAUGCUGACAUAAGUAACGAUAAAGCGGGUGAAAAGCCCGCUCGCCGGAAGACCAAGGGUUCCUGUCCAACGUUAAUCGGGGCAGGGUGAGUCGACCCCUAAGGCGAGGCCGAAAGGCGUAGUCGAUGGGAAACGGGUUAAUAUUCCCGUACUUGGUGUUACUGCGAAGGGGGGACGGAGAAGGCUAUGUUGGCCGGGCGACGGUUGUCCCGGUUUAAGCGUGUAGGUGUGUGUUCCAGGUAAAUCCGGUUCACUUUAACACUGAGGCGUGAUGACGAGGCACUACGGUGCUGAAGCAACAAAUGCCCUGCUUCCAGGAAAAGCCUCUAAGCAUCAGGUAACAUCAAAUCGUACCCCAAACCGACACAGGUGGUCAGGUAGAGAAUACCAAGGCGCUUGAGAGAACUCGGGUGAAGGAACUAGGCAAAAUGGUGCCGUAACUUCGGGAGAAGGCACGCUGACACGUAGGUGAAGUGAUUUACUCAUGGAGCUGAAGUCAGUCGAAGAUACCAGCUGGCUGCAACUGUUUAUUAAAAACACAGCACUGUGCAAACACGAAAGUGGACGUAUACGGUGUGACGCCUGCCCGGUGCCGGAAGGUUAAUUGAUGGGGUCAGCGCAAGCGAAGCUCCUGAUCGAAGCCCCGGUAAACGGCGGCCGUAACUAUAACGGUCCUAAGGUAGCGAAAUUCCUUGUCGGGUAAGUUCCGACCUGCACGAAUGGCGUAAUGAUGGCCAGGCUGUCUCCACCCGAGACUCAGUGAAAUUGAACUCGCUGUGAAGAUGCAGUGUACCCGCGGCAAGACGGAAAGACCCCGUGAACCUUUACUAUAGCUUGACACUGAACAUUGAGCCUUGAUGUGUAGGAUAGGUGGGAGGCUUUGAAGUGUGGACGCCAGUCUGCAUGGAGCCGACCUUGAAAUACCACCCUUUAAUGUUUGAUGUUCUAACGUGGACCCGUAAUCCGGGUUGCGGACAGUGUCUGGUGGGUAGUUUGACUGGGGCGGUCUCCUCCUAAAGAGUAACGGAGGAGCACGAAGGUUGGCUAAUCCUGGUCGGACAUCAGGAGGUUAGUGCAAUGGCAUAAGCCAGCUUGACUGCGAGCGUGACGGCGCGAGCAGGUGCGAAAGCAGGUCAUAGUGAUCCGGUGGUUCUGAAUGGAAGGGCCAUCGCUCAACGGAUAAAAGGUACUCCGGGGAUAACAGGCUGAUACCGCCCAAGAGUUCAUAUCGACGGCGGUGUUUGGCACCUCGAUGUCGGCUCAUCACAUCCUGGGGCUGAAGUAGGUCCCAAGGGUAUGGCUGUUCGCCAUUUAAAGUGGUACGCGAGCUGGGUUUAGAACGUCGUGAGACAGUUCGGUCCCUAUCUGCCGUGGGCGCUGGAGAACUGAGGGGGGCUGCUCCUAGUACGAGAGGACCGGAGUGGACGCAUCACUGGUGUUCGGGUUGUCAUGCCAAUGGCACUGCCCGGUAGCUAAAUGCGGAAGAGAUAAGUGCUGAAAGCAUCUAAGCACGAAACUUGCCCCGAGAUGAGUUCUCCCUGAGACUUUAGGUCUCCUGAAGGAACGUUGAAGACGACGACGUUGAUAGGCCGGG
rnacentral:rRNA from 1 species